UACGUAGGGUGCAAGCGUUGUCCGGAAUUAUUGGGCGUAAAGAGCUCGUAGGCGGUUAGUCACGUCGGCUGUGAAAACCUGGGGCUCAACCCCGGGCCUGCAGCCGAUACGGGCUGACUAGAAUUCGGUAGGGGAGACUGGAAUUCCUGGUGUAGCGGUGAAAUGCGCAGAUAUCAGGAGGAACACCGGUGGCGAAGGCGGGUCUCUGGGCCGAUACUGACGCUGAGGAGCGAAAGCGUGGGGAGCGAACAGG
rnacentral:rRNA from 1 species